CAAUAGCGUAUAUUAAAGUUGUUGCGGUUAAAAAGCUCGUAGUUGGAUUUCUGUUGAGGACGGCCGGUCCGCACUAUGUGCGUGUAUCUGGUUCGGCCUCGGCAUCCUCUCGAAAGCCGUUUCUGCGCUUGAUUGCGUGGUUCGGACUUCGGGACUUUUACUUUGAGGAAAUUAGAGUGUUCACGGCAGGCAGGCGCCUUGAAUAUAUUAGCAUGGAAUAAUAAUAUAGGAUCUUGGUCCUAUUUUGUUGGUUUCUAGGGCUAAGAUAAUGAUUAAUAGGGACAAUUGGGGGCAUUCGUAUUAACGCGUCAGAGGUGGAAUUCUUGGAUUGCGUUACGACGAACUACUGCGAAAGCAUUUGCCAAGGAUGUUUUCAUUGA
rnacentral:rRNA from 1 species